AGAGCGAACGCUGGCGGCAGGCUUAACACAUGCAAGUCGAGCGGGCGUAGCAAUACGUCAGCGGCAGACGGGUGAGUAACGCGUGGGAACAUACCUUUUGGUUCGGAACAACACAGGGAAACUUGUGCUAAUACCGGAUACGCCCUUACGGGGAAAGAUUUAUUGCCGAAGGAACGGCCCGCGUCCGAUUAGCUAGUUGGUGAGGUAAUGGCUCACCAAGGCGACGAUCGGUAGCUGGUCUGAGAGGAUGACCAGCCUCACUGGGACUGAGACACGGCCCAGACUCCUACGGGAGGCAGCGGUGGGGAAUAUUGGACAAUGGGCGCAAGCCUGAUCCAGCCAUGCCGCGUGGAUGAUGAAGGCCUUAGGGUUGUAAAGUCCUUUUAACGGGGAAGAUAAUGACGGUACCGUAGAAUAAGCCCGGCUAACUUCGUGCCAGCAGCCGC
rnacentral:rRNA from 1 species